UGUUUGGGGAUAUUUUGGAUGGCACAUCCACACCUGUGAGUGCAGACCAACAAAACAAAGAGGGCCAGAAAUCUGCUCCCAAAUCAACCCACAAGGCCAAGGAACGAGAAAAUGACAAAGAGAAAAUAAAAAUAACAUCUAAGUCAAGCUCCAAUAUCAGCCUCAUCUGAAGGAUGAAGUGUUAAAGGAGGAGCAGAGGAGGGAACGCUCUGAGAACUUCCAAAGUUUUCAAAGCCUGAUCUGGGACAAUAUUCUGGAACAGCGUAAACAGGAAAAAAGUGCACGUAAGGAAAUGAUGAAACGACAGUUGGGGACAUACAUUGGCUUUCAGGACACAAUGGAUGCAUAUCGGCAAAAGAUGCUGCAGGCUCGUGAGGCAUUCUGUUCCCACAUCCUAAAGGAGCAGUCACAUAAAAAUAUGGAAGAUCCUCCUUUGGAAACAGUCGAACAGGUUGAGCAUGAGAAAAUCCCUACUGUGGUCCAAUCAAGUGGAUGUAAGAGUGGGGGCAAGAGGACGUGAUCUGAACACCCAAAACUUUAUAGCAAUAAAAUAGUCAGUCACUCAGUCUAAUAUUGCUCU
ensembl:lncRNA